UUGCUCCGGCAGUAGUACUAAAGCUGGAACGCUGCGAAGGAGAUUAGCAUGGCCUCUGUGCAAGGAUGGCGCGCGAAAUCGGGAACUUGGUUUAAUUUGG
rnacentral:snRNA from 1 species